AGCAGCCGCGGUAAUUCCAGCUCCAAUAGCGUAUAUUAAAGUUGUUGCAGGUUAAAAAGCUCGUAGUUGAAUUUCGGAAUCAGUAUGUUGGUCGUGCUUCGGUACGUACUGUCAUUACUGGUUUCUACCUUCUGAAGAACCUUGAUGUCAUUAAUUUGGUGUCUUGGGGAAUCAGGACUGUUACUUUGAAAAAAUUAGAGUGUUUAAAGCAAGCAUACGCUUGAAUACAUUAGCAUGGAAUAAUGAAAUAGGACGUUUGAUUCUAUUUUGUUGGUUUCUAGGAUCGACGUAAUGAUUAAUAGGGAUAGUUGGGGGCAUUAGUAUUCAAUUGUCAGAGGUGAAAUUCUUGGAUUUAUUGAAGACUAACUACUGCGAAAGCAUUUGCCAAGGAUGUUUUCAUUAAUCAAGAACGAAAGUUAGGGGAUCGAAGACGAUCAGAUACCGUCGUAGUCUUAACCAUAAACUAUGCCGACUAGGGAUCGGAUGAUGUUAUUUUUAAUGUACUCAUUCGGCGCCUUAA
rnacentral:rRNA from 1 species